GCUGGCGGCAUGCCUAACACAUGCAAGUCGAACGAGAAGCCGUCUUCGGAUGGUGGACAGUGGCGCACGGGUGAGUAACGCGUGGGUAUCUGCCCUGGAGUGGGGGACAACUGCUGGAAACGGCAGCUAAUACCGCAUACGCCCUUAGGGGGAAAGCUUUAUGCGCUCCAGGAUGAGCCCGCGUCGGAUUAGCUUGUUGGUGAGGUAACGGCUCACCAAGGCAACGAUCCGUAGCUGGUCUGAGAGGAUGAUCAGCCACACUGGGACUGAGACACGGCCCAGACUCCUACGGGAGGCAGCAGUGGGGAAUAUUGGACAAUGGGCGCAAGCCUGAUCCAGCAAUGCCGCGUGUGUGAAGAAGGCCUUCGGGUUGUAAAGCACUUUCACUCGCGAAGAUGAUGACGGUAGCGAGAGAAGAAGCCCCGGCUAACUCCGUGCCA
rnacentral:rRNA from 1 species